rnacentral:lncRNA from 1 species
CUUGUUCUCGCCCGGGCCGCUCAGACCUGCAGCGGAGCCGCGGCGCCGGCUUGGAUCUGCUUGGGGCUGCACCCCCGGGAGCCAGCGACGGAGGCAGGCGGGGCGCUGCUCGUGGUCCCGGGUCCCUCGGUAGAGCCAGGUGUGGAUCCAUGGGGUAGCCUCAACGCGUCUUCCCCAGCCAGCUCAUGGGCCACCUGGCCCUGCCCAGCCUUGGCAUCCGGGGCCAGUGAACAAGAGCCCUGGCAGGAUUACAAACAUGUGGGGCCUUGUAAGGCUCCUGCUGGCCUGGCUGGGUGGCUGGGGCUGCAUGGGGCGCCUGGCAGCUCCAGUCCCAGCCUGGGCAGGGUCCCGGGGACACUCGGGUCCUACACUGCUGCGGACCCGAAGGAGCUGGGUCUGGAACCAGUUCUUUGUCAUUGAGGAAUAUUCU